CUUGCUCAAAAACUGUACAUGAAAUGUGAUGGAAGUACCAAUCUGGGAACAAUUUAGCCAAAGGGGAUUGCUUGGUGGCUCCAAACCUCAUAAUGGCCAUCGAUUUUCCCUGUCCUGUUGGUCUACAGAGGAAGAGACCAACAGAGUAGUGCUUCUCACCAUUCUUGUCUACAAGUUCCCUUGUGUUUUCAAUAACACCAGGUGCUUCAAACCUUAAGAAGUAAGGCAAGGAUUGGUCUUUUGCCUCACCCCAAUAGCCUGCAAAACCUCUAUCAGUCCUCUCAGUCACCUCGAAUCUCAGCGGCUGUGCAUUUUCUCUUUUCGCAGUAAAACCCGUCCUGUCGUGUG
rnacentral:lncRNA from 1 species